AGCACUGCUUUACUGCAUUAUAUCCGAAUUUGUGUUAUAUUGGGUCGCGCUAUAUCAGGGUAGAGGUGUAUCUAAUUACAAACCCAGUGGUUUUCAUUUUUUGGGUUGCCUCUGCUGAAGAAGUGGGAUUUUGACGGUGCUAGAUACCCUUAUUUUGAAGUGCUGAGUUUCAGGGAUUUGACAGAUUUUAAGAGAUUCUAGGACUGGUUAUAUUUACCAGUUGAGAGUGUCCCUUUUAAAUGUGCCAGACAAUCCUAUUAGAUCCAAAUCCUUUCCAGAAGAACUUGAGACUUUGUGCCUUCUCCAGUUUUCCCCACAUUCACAGACAGUGCAUUACAAGAAAAAACCCACACAACGUAACUGUGUACCUCAUGCAGAAAAGUUACAUUCUUGUGUCUCGCUCUCACUGCCAAAAAAGCUGUAUAUGGUCUGAUAAUGAACCAAGCUAUACGUUUCUUCUCUCUUCCUCAUGAGCAUAAAAAGGAGGAACACUCCAAAAUCUUUGGCACAGUUAAUUGUGAAGCAGUGGAAGCCAUGCCCAGUAUUUCAAAUUGUACUUUUAAUCAGUGUUUUUGAAGUCCGCUAUUUUAAAGUUUUCAGUUGAGCCUCUAAGACACCAUAGUACAGUGUCUCAUGAAGUCUUUAAACAGCGAACUCUAGGCUUCAGUCUUGUAUUUUAUAUAUUAGUUGUGUUACUUUUUUUUAUAGUUUUCUUUCAUCUUCAGAUCAAUUGUCUUUGUUGUGCAUUCAUCUUCAAUGUCAUCAUACUGUGUACGAUAAAAUUCUCAGGUAACCUUUCUGGAUUACUGCAUUCAUCUUUUGAGCAGAAAGGGAUAUCAUCUGACUGAUAUCCACCAUGUCAUUUAUGACAUUUACCUGCUCAGGACUUGGGAAAAAAAUAUUUUAAGCCAGACAUUAGCCAUAAGUAGAGAUAACAGAUUUCUUUGGAGGGGGAGAUCCAAGGGGAAUGCCCAGCCCCACUGCUAAUCCAAGAUGCCAGAAAGUAAUCGAAUUUCUAAUCAGAUACCCCAUGUAUGAACACUGGAUGGCAAAUUGCAUCCUUCAUAUCAGCCUUUGGUUGGUAGGCUUUUGAUAGAUUUGUAACUUCAUCCUCAACCACUGGAAGGGAAGAGGAGUUCUCUCUUCUCUUCCAGAAUCACAACAUUCAACACUCCUGCUUUCCAGCUUUGACUCUUUAUGUCUAUUUCCCCUCUAAAAAUUCCAGUGUCUCAGUUACUGUUUCUUUACCCAAUUGUAUAAUUAACUAAAGCUCACUAUUUAUCCCUAACAUGGCUACUUUCCUCGCAUCCAUAGCAAUUUGUCUAGAAGGACUGUCCCUUAUUUCAGAAGGAUUAAUGUUUUUAAAUGGCACAGUUCAAACUAGAUUUUUGGAUUCAUCAAACUUUGUAAUACCCCAACAAUCUACCACAGCAAUUGUCAAACUUUACUGUCCUGUUCUAUUUCUUCUUUCCAACCUAACAUGGGGCUCUGGCCUUUUCCUUCCUGCUUUCAAACCAAGAAAGCUGAAGUUUCAGAUUCAGCAGUGGCAAAUUCUGAAAGAGAUUUCAAAGCUUAGAGCUCCCCUUCUUCAUAUUUGUUGCAUUCCUCCCAUUCCCAGAAGUAACACGGGCAAGGUUCACUGCUGGAAGAGGUUUAAUUACAUCUUCUCUCAAAUGUGUCUUAUUCAGUAAGUUCCCACUGAAAUCUUCCUUCCUAAAGCACUUUGCAUUUGCAAGCUGGAAAGUGUCAGUUUUAAGGGUUAUAUUCUUCUAACAAUUCUGUCACAAGUCUUACCCUCAUAUUACAUACUGCAAUAGUCCAAAGUCUCAAAUUUAACCUUUGUGAAAUGUGCUCUGGUUCCUUAAGAGAUAGCUAAUACAGAGUAAAAGUAACAAAGAAUCCU